rnacentral:rRNA from 1 species
CACCCGCAGCUCGAGUGGUGGUCACUUUUAUUGAGCCUAAAGCGUUUGUAGCCGGUUUUGCAAAUCUUCAGAUAAAUUCCUCUGCUUAACAGAUGAUCUUCUGAAGAGACUGCGAGACUUGGGACCGGGUGAGGUUGAAGGUACUUCCGGGGUAGGGGUAAAAUCCUGUAAUCCUGGAAGGACGACCGGUGGCGAAGGCGUUCAACUAGAACGGAUCCGACGGUGAGGAACGAGGGCUAGGGGAGCAAACCGGAUUAGAUACCCGGGUAGUCCUAGCUGUAAACACUGCCCACUUGGUGUUGCCCCUCCGAUGAGGGGAGGCAGUGCCGGAGCGAAGGUGUUAAGUGGGCCGCUUGGGGAGUAUGGUCGCAAGGCUGAAACUUAAAGGAAUUGGCGGGGGAGCACCGCAACGGGAGGAGCGUGCGGUUUAAUUGGAUUCAACGCCGGAAAACUCACCGGGAGCGACCUUUGGAUGAGAGUCAGCCUGAUGAGCUUACUCGAUAGAAGGAGAGGUGGUGCAUGGCCGUCGUCAGCUCGUACCGUAGGGCGUUCACUUAAGUGUGAUAACGAGCGAGACCCCCAUCUCUAAUUGCUAACGUGCAUUCGCGUGUACGCGCACUUUAGAGGGACCGCCAGUGCUAAACUGGAGGAAGGAGGGGUCGACGGCAGGUCAGUACGCCCCGAAUCUCCCGGGCAACACGCGCGCUACAAAGGGCAGGACAAUGAGUUGCCACCUCGAAAGGGGGAGCUAAUCUCGAAACCUGUUCGUAGUUAGGAUUGAGGGCUGUAACUCGCCCUCAUGAAUGUGGAUUCCGUAGUAAUCGCGGGUCAACAGCCCGCGGUGAAUAUGCCCCUGCUCCU